UACGGGGGGGGCAAGCGUUGUUCGGAAUUACUGGGCGUAAAGGGCUCGUAGGCGGCCAACUAAGUCAGACGUGAAAUCCCUCGGCUUAACCGGGGAACUGCGUCUGAUACUGGAUGGCUUGAAUCCGGGAGAGGGAUGCGGAAUUCCAGGUGUAGCGGUGAAAUGCGCAGAUAUCGGGAGGAACACCUAUGGCGAAGGCAGCUUGCUGGGACGGCACUGACGCUGAGACGCGAAAGCGUGGGGAGCAAACAGG
rnacentral:rRNA from 1 species